rnacentral:lncRNA from 1 species
CAGAGCUGGAGUAUUUUCUGCUCUUCCUAAGGCCUGGUAAUUCAGCUCUUUGUGAGACUAAUCUCACCUUGUCACCCAGGCUGGAGUGCAAUGGCAUAAUCUCAGCUCACUGCAACCUCUGUCUCCCAGGCUCAAAUGAUUCUCCUGCCUCAGCCUCCUGAGUAGCUGGGAUUACAGGCGCCCAUGGACUACCAGCUUUUUAAGUAGACUUUU